UCUAACAUCCCACAGUGGCUAGGAUUUGUCGCUCUCAUCAGAGUAGUUCGCUCUCAAGCGCCGACAAGGCCCGGGUUCGAUUCCCGGUGUCGGAA
rnacentral:tRNA from 1 species